CAAUGAAUAGGAGCAGCAGGGGAAACCUUAUGUGUCACAGCAUUAUUGGCGAAGAUUGCAUUUAUUUUAUGGAAGAAAAAGAAAAAAAAUUCCUUGUUCCAAUAGCUACAGUAGGUUAUAGAAACACUCGUAGCAGAUUGCAAGAGGUGGAAGUAAUCAGUGUUGUAACGAGCGCAACUCGAGUCGCUAUUUUCAGCGACUCGACUCGAGUCCAAUACGAA